rnacentral:rRNA from 1 species
UGGGGAAUAUUGCACAAUGGGCGAAAGCCUGAUGCAGCGACGCCGCGUGAGUGAAGAAGUAUUUCGGUAUGUAAAGCUCUAUCAGCAGGGAAGAAAAUGACGGUACCUGACUAAGAAGCCCCGGCUAACUACGUGCCAGCAGCCGCGGUAAUACGUAGGGGGCAAGCGUUAUCCGGAUUUACUGGGUGUAAAGGGAGCGUAGACGGCGAAGCAAGUCUGAAGUGAAAACCCAGGGCUCAACCCUGGGACUGCUUUGGAAACUGUUUUGCUAGAGUGUCGGAGAGGUAAGUGGAAUUCCUAGUGUAGCGGUGAAAUGCGUAGAUAUUAGGAGGAACACCAGUGGCGAAGGCGGCUUACUGGACGAUAACUGACGUUGAGGCUCGAAAGCGCGGGGAGCAAACAGG